GUUUUAAAAUACAAAAAUUAAAAUUGAAAUACAAGGCGUUUUUCCUUUUCAUGAUCAAAAAGUGAUAUACGAUUUUUUUUAAAUGCUUUGAUUUUCGUUUUAUAUUUAGAAUAAAAGGAAAGUAAAAUCAAUAAGAGACUGAAACGAAAAAAGGUCGGUUUUUUCAUUUUCUGAGACCGGAAGUGGUCAUCAGCGUCAUCAAGUGUGGAGCCAAACGACAACAAGAUUCUCAGAGGGCGGAACCAGAGAGCAGUGAUUGGUCAGACUGACUGAGAGCCAGAGAGCAGUGAUUGGUCAGACCAUAGAUAAUAUAGAAGACAGCGCGCUAGCGGAUCUAGUCUAUGUAUAUCUAUAGUCGGCACGCCAGGUAGCAUCUCUGGCUGCUGUUGAUCUUGUUUUUGGAGUAAAACACGGUAAGAAGAUAAAUACUUCUAACCAGUAGCGUUGUUUUGUUGUACGUUAAGUCAGCGACUUGUGAAGAGUUGUGUUUUCUCGUGUUUGAGCAGUUGGUCCGGACGCGUUAGCUAGCUAAGCGGCUAAGUUAGCUAGCUAAGCGGCUAAGUUAGCUAGCGGGCUAAUUAACACAGGUGGCUAACUUACCGCUGAACACCUGUGUUAGUUGCUGCUGCAGCUGUCCUCAUUAUUAGAAUGACCUUCUCAGCCUGUAUUUCUCUGCUGUGUAUUUUAGCUUUUAAAAAGUUAUUUUACUUUAAGGUUAACUGAAACCCGUUGAGCUGCAUUGAAGUUUAACAUUCAGCUGGUUUGAAUUAAACCGCCCUUAACAUUGCGCAACAUUACCUCUCUGAAUCUCCAUAAUUUCAUUAAAUUCCUUCUCUCUUCCACUGCUCAAGUUCAAUCCAGUAUACAAAGUGACAUUAAUAGUGAAUAAACUAACAACCAGCCAUUGUAUUUAUUUAUUAUUGCAUAUAUUUGUAGUAAAACAUGAGUUGAAACAUCCUACUUUUGGAUCUAGAACUGCACAAGCCGUUCAUUUUCAGUCACCUGACGAGUUAAACUCCCCUUUUUAUGUGAGGUUGAAGCAGAAAGUCUGAGUUAAAGAAAGUUCUUUAUAAUUUGCAAUACCUGUUAUCUCUGACUGAGGCUUUAGUUUUUGUUGAGCUGUUUUACACGUAGAAACUUUGUUCAGGGAAAUUUCUCAGUAGCUCAGAGGACAGGCUGCUUUUUACACAACCUUGUAAGAGAAUGUCUGUCAAUGCUUUCAGCAGAAUUUAGAAACACAACACUUACUAAACAGAUAUUUUGAGGCUGUGAGGUUGAACGUUUGAGAGUAUAUCAGUGUGUUUGUUUGUGGUCUUUCUGUUUCUAGGUGGAAGCUGAAUUAGUGAGGAUGACUCCGGCUCCUGUCAUCUCUAAGCUCCUCCCACAUCUUUACCUGCACAUGAGGAAAAUCACUCCUGUAGAAUGCAGAUGCACAAUGAGGGACGUCUGCAGAGACUGAGAAAGAGUCUCACCACAUCCUGACAUGAGGAAAAAGACUUUAUUGAAGACUACAAUGAGAAAAACUAUCAGACAGCAGACGGCUGCAUUCAAGGUGAGCUCUGAACAUUUGAUCUGGAACAGGAAUUCAAUAACGGCAGCAUGAGCUUCAUUUCAGUCUGUAGCUGCUGAAUUCAUGGAUGAAUCAUCUGGCACUAGAGAAGAAGACCAUCAAACAUCCACGUCAGCUGAUGGAGGUCCAAGAGUCUCACCAAACAAACAACCUACAGAGUGAAGACCUCAAAUCUGAUUGGACGGCCUCCUAUUCAGCCACGUGUGAAGAAAUGCCUCUAAGUUGAUUUGUUUUCUAAAAUAAAUCUAGUUUGAGUCCUAA